rnacentral:rRNA from 1 species
UACGAAGGGUGCAAGCGUUACUCGGAAUUACUGGGCGUAAAGCGUGCGUAGGUGGUUUGUUAAGUCUGAUGUGAAAGCCCUGGGCUCAACCUGGGAAUGGCACUGGAUACUGGCAAGCUAGAGUGUGGCAGAGGGUAGUGGAAUUCCUGGUGUAGCAGUGAAAUGCGUAGAGAUCAGGAGGAACAUCCGUGGCGAAGGCGACUGCCUGGGCCAACACUGACACUGAGGCACGAAAGCGUGGGGAGCAAACAGGAUUAGAAACCCGGUAGUCC